UGUUUUUUCAUAUAUGGUGAUUGCAUAUUUUCUAACUAAUGGUUUCUAUGAUUAUAUAGCUAAAGGUGAGCAAGACAUCAAAAUCAUCCCAGAGUGCUACAGGAGGGAGGUCCUAGAGGUAGUAAGUCACUUGUUUACUCCAUGAUGACAAUAGCAAGCAGAUCGCGGUGGUGCCUAUGGAUGCUACAA